UCGACCUGAGUUCAGACGAGACCACCCGCUCAACUUAAGCAUAU
rnacentral:rRNA from 2 species